GCUGCGACAGAGAGCCGGUGUGAACAAAGCUGUGACCCUGAAAGAGAAGCAGCAGAAUGAAAACUCGACUCUGAUUUCGCUUUGUGUCAAAAUGUUUUUCGUGAUGAAGUCCGUUAGAGAGGGCUACGGAUUACACUCUACAUUUGGCAUCGAGAGAGCAAAGGUGACAGACCCACGCAGGUGUCUUGCUGUGAUUUACGCUUUUAAUUGGAAACCAAAAGAGCCGGAGGACAUGGAAAACGUGAAUAGAUCUGCUGGCUGCUGCACAUACUAUGUUGCUGUUGUGUCCUCCAUUGUCUGAAUUUUACUUCCUCGGUUCACUAAAGCUUCCAAGCCUGAGAUAAAUAUUGGCUAAUGCAUAA